GAGGUGAAAUCUGAAAAUAACAAACUGUGACUAAACGGCGUUGAAGCUUACUCACGGCCGCCGCCACCUCCAUUAACGAGGGGCACCAUUCUUACCUUCAUUUCUUUCUUCAUUUCAUCGGCUGGUGCUCAAUCUUUGUUUCGGAUCGGGUCGGAUCGGAUCUGAUCACUGGGUUUUUUCUUAGAGCUUGAACUUCAGUGAACAUCAUCAUCAUCAUCAUCAUCAGCGAUUCAGCGGCGGCAUCUUCAUCCUCUCCGGCCUCCACCGUCUCCUCCGCCACAAACCCGCCACCGUCUCCGCGUCUCUGUCGUCUCCUCCGCCACAAACCCCCCACCCUCCGCCGGCAUCUUCAUCAUCGACGGGAUCUUCAUCAGCGACGGCAUCUUUUCCGGUGAAGGUGGUUUAUUCUGAACACAUAACAUAUGGCAACCGAGCAAACAAGCAAUGAAGGUCAACAAGAAAAGGGCAACGAGAACGCGGUACCAAACGCCAGCCUUUUAACCAUUGGAGGAUUUAGAAAUGCAGUAAUGGAGCAGUAUCGUAAAGCGAAAGAGAACGCUGAAGCCUACCCUUACGUAUGGGGUUCAUAUCUUAUUGUAUACGGCGGGUUUGGUCUAUGGGUGGCAUACAGAUACAAAAAGCUUCGAAACACUGAAGACAGAGUUAGAGCCCUUCAAGAAAAACUUCGUACCCUUCGUCAAGAAAGAGACCCGACAAACUCAUCUGCAGUGACUGAAAAGGUGAAAUCAUCUACGGAUAAAUAGUAUGCAGGUAAUCGCUUUGAAUCGAAUCCGUUUUUCUAGAAAGUGCUUUAGCGUAUUAGAUUUACGCUGACAACUGUGUAGAUGAGUAAAGUUUUGAUUUUUAACAUCUUUUGAAGAGAUGAAUCUUGUUAUAAAUGACAAUUUGGGGUUUGUUAUAAAUGAAUCUUGUUCACGGAGUUUAA